rnacentral:lncRNA from 1 species
UUUUGGCUCCUCGUGCUGGGGUUUCCCAGCCAUCAGUCCAGCCAC